ensembl:lncRNA
AGGACUAAACCAGGACUAAACCAGAUCUAAACCAGGACUGAACCAGGUCUAAACCAGGACUAAACCAGGUCUAAACCAGGACUAAACCAGGACUAAACCAGGACUAAACCAGGUCUAAACCAGGACUAAACCAGGACUAAACCAGGACUAAACCAGGUCUGAACCAGGACUAAACCAGGUCUAAACCAGGACUAAACCAGGUCUGAACCAGGACUAAACCAGGUCUAAACCAGGACUAAACCAGGACUAAACCAGGACUAAACCAGGUCUAAACCAGGACUAAACCAGGACUAAACCAGGACUAAACCAGGUCUAAACCAGGACUAAACCAGGACUAAACCAGGUCUAAACCGGGACUAAACCAGGACUAAACCAGG